rnacentral:rRNA from 1 species
UACGUAGGGGGCAAGCGUUGUCCGGAAUCAUUGGGCGUAAAGAGCGUGUAGGCGGCUCGAUGAGUCCGUUCUGAAAGUCCAGGGCUCAACCCUGGGAUGCGGAUGGAUACUGUCGGGCUCGAGUCCGGAGGAGGUGAGUGGAAUUCCCGGUGUAGCGGUGAAAUGCGCAGAUAUCGGGAGGAACACCAAUGGCGAAGGCAGCUCGCUGGGACGUGACUGACGCUGAGACGCGAAAGCGUGGGGAGCAAACAGG